GACGAACGCUGGCGGCGUGCCUAAUACAUGCAAGUCGGACGCAGUUGCGAAUGGGUGAGUAAUGCCUAGGUUACUGCCUAUUAGCGGGGGAUAACUACUGGAAACGAUAGCUAAUAUCGUUUACUAGUAGAUCGAGCUGCGUUGUAUUAGCUAGUAGGUCGGGUAACGGCCUCCCAAGGCGACGAUACAUAGCCGAACUGAGAAGGUGGGCAGCCAAAAUGGGAAGGGGACAAGGGCCAGGAUCCUACGGGGGGCAACAGUAGGGGAAUUUGGGCAAUGGGGGGAACGCCGACGGGACAAAGGCUGAGUGGUGAAGAAAGGUUUCGGAACGUUAAGCUCUGUUGAUAAGGGAGCGGUACUUAACCAGAAAGGGACGGCUAACUACGUGCCAGCAGCCGCGGUAAUUC
rnacentral:rRNA from 1 species